GAUCCAUCUGCUUUGAACUGGGAGCAUCAGGAUUCAGGGCAUCUUUUAGCCUCUGUGUUCAGCGCCUUCACAUAGGUUCAUCCAGGAAUGGGUUCCGUGGCGAAUUCAUGAAGUUCUCUCUAGACCACAGAAAAAAUGACUGUUGUCAACUAUAGAUUCUCAUGAGCCUCGCCACCAAUGAUCUCAGAAAAGACAAAGGAUUUGGAUACUAAGAGUUCCAAUGGCGUUUGGGAGAUGGCUUUGUUUACCUACCUUAUGAAGAGCUGAUCCAGAGAAACAGGGUAUUCAUUUGAAUACCAAUUGGAGAAGGGGCCUAGGGCAUGCUGUCACCAGAGAGCAUCUGAGUAAGCAAGUGGAGAACGUCCAGAAAGAC